AUGAGUAUCAUUUGUGGGAACUGUCGAGGUUUGGGGCCGAACUCGAUAGUUGGCGAGCUUUGCUAGCUUGUGAAGCUCUACCGCCCAUCCCUCCUCUUCCUUUCGGAGACGAAGAUGAGGGACUCAAGAGUGAGGAGCUUUAAGUGGUCUCUGGGUUUUAAGUGUUGCUUUGCUAUUGGAUGUGAGGGCCUCAGUGGGUGUCUUGCCUUGUUUUGGUCAUCUACAGUUGAUGUUUCAGUUGAAGUUUAUAACAAGCACUGCAUCGAGGCCCGUGUGAAGUUGAAUGAUGGUAUGGUUUGGCAUGCAACCUUUGUAUAUGGGGAACCCAAAUGUGAAGAUAGACAUAUAUUCUGGGAUUUUCUUUGUCACUAG
rnacentral:rRNA from 1 species